CCUACGGGGCGCAGCAGUGAGGAAUAUUGGUCAAUGGACGCAAGUCUGAACCAGCCAUGCCGCGUGCAGGAAGACGGCUCUAUGAGUUGUAAACUGCUUUUGUACGAGGGUAAACGCAGAUAAGUGUAUCUGUCUGAAAGUAUCGUACGAAUAAGGAUCGGCUAACUCCGUGCCAGCAGCCGCGGUAAUCAGGAGGAUUCAAGCGGUAUCCGGAUUUAUUGGGGUUAAAGGGUGCGUAGGCGGUCGGAUAAGUUAGAGGUGAAAUCUCGAGGAUCAACUUCGGCAUUGCCUCUGAGACUGUUCGGCUAGAGAGUAGUUGCGGUAGGCGGAAUGUAUGGUGUAGCGGUGAAAUGCUUAGAGAUCAUACAGAACACCGAUGGCGAAGGCAGCUUACCAAGCUACUUCUGACGUUGAGGCACGAAAGCGUGGGGAGCAAACAGGAUUAGAUACCCGAGUAGUC
rnacentral:rRNA from 1 species